CCUACGGGAGGCAGCAGUGAGGAAUAUUGGUCAAUGGGCUUACGCCUGAACCAGCCAAGUCGCGUGAGUGAAGACUGCCCUAUGGGUUGUAAACCUCUUUUGUCAGGGAGCAACGCCGGCUACGUGUAGCCGGACUGAGAGUACCUGCAGAAAAAGCAUCGACUAACUCCGUGCCAGCAGCCGCGGUAAUACGAAGGAUGCGAGCGUUCUCCGGAUUUAUUGGUUUUAAAGGGUGCGUAGGCGGAAUGCCAAGUCAGCGGUAAAAUCGCGGGGCUCAACCUCGCUCCGCCGUUGAAACUGGCGUUCUUGAGUGGGCGAGAAGUAUGCGGAAUGCGUGGUGUAGCGGUGAAAUGCAUAGAGAUCACGAAGAACUCCGAUUGCGAAGGCAGCAUACCGGCGCCAAACUGACGCUGAAGCACGAAAGCGUGGGUAGCGAACAGGAUUAGAUACCCGAGUAGUC
rnacentral:rRNA from 1 species